rnacentral:rRNA from 1 species
AACUUACCAGGUCAAGACAUGGGCGUGAUUGACAGGCUAAUGACUUUUCUCGAUUCCAUGGAUGGUGGUGCAUGGUCGCACUUAGUUGGUGCAGUGAUUUGUCAGGUUUAUUCCGGUAACGAACGAGACCUCGGCCUUGUAAAUAGCUAUGCUGCUUACAGGGACAUUGGCGGCUACGCCAAGGAAGCUCGAGGCAAUUGCAGAUCUGGAAUGCCCUUAGAUGUCCUGGGUCGCACGCGUGCUACAAUGACGCCACGAACGAGCUUGCGUGAUGAAAGUUACGCAUAAUCAGCAGUCGGCGUCUUAAGGGAUAGUCUCUUGUAACUGUGGGACUCCAACUAGGAAUGUCUCGUAAGCACAAGUCAACAUCUUGUGUUGAUUACGUCCCUGCUCUUUGUACACACCGCCCGUCGCUCCUACCGAUCGAGUGUUUAGGUGAAUUUGAUGGACGUAAGGAAGUCAAAUAAACCUGAGCACUAGAGAAGAGAAGUCGAGCAUGA